AUGGCUUAUGUGAAUAAUAAAAAAAAAAAAAAAAAAAAAUCUGUUCUUAUCAGUUUAAUAUCUGAUACCGCCCUCUACCGAGGACUAAUAUAUUAAUCUGAUUUUUGGAACAGGGGAGGCGGAAGAGGGCUUUGUUCCGUCCAUCCCACGAUCGACCAGGUGUGCAGUGACUCCAGGAACGGUUGCACAUCC